rnacentral:rRNA from 1 species
GGCUACACACGUGCUACAAUGGGUAGUACAGAGAGUCGCAAAGCCGUGAGGUGGAGCUAAUCUCAGAAAACUAUUCUUAGUUCGGAUUGUACUCUGCAACUCGAGUACAUGAAGUUGGAAUCGCUAGUAAUCGCAAAUCAGCUAUGUCGCGGUGAAUACGUUCUCGGGUCUUGUACACACCGCCCGUCACACCACGAGAGUUGGUUGCACCUGAAGUAGCAGGCCUAACCGUAAGGAGGGAUGCUCCGAGGGUGUGAUUAGCGAUUGGGGUGAAGUCGUAACAAGGUAUCCGUACGGGAACGU